rnacentral:rRNA from 1 species
GUCUCAAAGAUUAAGCCAUGCAUGUCUAAGUAUAAGCACUUGUACUGUGAAACUGCGAAUGGCUCAUUAAAUCAGUUAUCGUUUAUUUGAUUGUACUUUACUACAUGGAUACCUGUGGUAAUUCUAGAGCUAAUACAUGCGAAAAAUCCCGACUUCUGGAAGGGAUGUAUUUAUAGAUUAAAAACCAAUGCGAGUCUUCGGGCUCGUUUUCUUGGUGAUUCAUGAUAACUUUUCGAAUCGCAUGGCCUAGCGCCGGCGAUAUUUCAUUCAAAUUUCUGCCCUAUCAACUGUCGAUGGUAAGGUAGUGGCUUACCAUGGUUAUAACGGGUGACGGAGAAUUAGGGUUCGAUUCCGGAGAGGGAGCCUGAGAAACGGCUACCACAUCUAAGGAAGGCAGCAGGCUCGAAAAUUACCCAAUCCCAAUUCGGGGAGGUAGUGACAAGAAAUAACGAUACGGGGUCUUAAUAGGUCUCGCAAUUGGAAUGAGUACAAUUUAAAUCCUUUAACGAGGAUCCAUUGGAGGGCAAGUCUGGUG